UGAUUUUGAUAGUUGUGGAGGAAUAGUAAAGUAUGAAUGCCAUCUUAACGUUGUCACGGCUGAGGGUUUCGAUGAAUCUCAAAUUGUGAAAUCGCUAAAGAUGAAUGGAUUAUUUACAGAUUACUCGUGCAGAUACAACAACCUGUAAAAAUAACCAAACGUAAGCAAUUGAUACUACUUUUGAAAGCUUGAGAAUGAAAGACGAUAAAAAUUGUGAUUAAUUUAUUUUAAAUUUAGCGGAUAUUCAUCAACUUAAGUUUCAACUAGGUGAACAAAUCUCUCCAUCUAAAAAUUAUUCAAAAGUUUUGAGUUUUUACCGAAGAGAUUUCAAUAUAAGCUUACAGUAUAGAAGAAAGUAAGGAUAUUGACUCCAUGAAAAUAGAAGAUUUCGUGGGGUCCUUACAAACUUUUGAAGCUAAUUUUGUCCAUCUAAAAGGAACAAAAAGCAUUACUUUUAAUUCUAUAAGGAAGACAUGAAUUGAGAUAGGUGAUCGCAACAUUGAAAUUGAGUCCCGAAGAUAUGACUAUUUUAGCAAAAAAUUUUAAAAAAAAGAAAAAAGAAAAAAGAAAGCAAUCUCUCUUGUGAUAAAAAUAAAAAAAAAAUAUUUUAGCACGUGACUAAGUGUGUAAGGAAAUCUUCUGAUAAGUUUGGUAGAAAUAAUGUUUUGAAUUUCAGGGUUUUGGGAUAUUGACUACGGACUGUCCAAACAAAAAAACAAUAAAUGAAACAGGGUUUUGACAUUAACUAGAGUGAUCAGGAAGGAAUAGAAAUCAUAUAAUGAUGAUGAAUCUGAAAAUGUUAGUAUUCAUGGCCUCUGCUACUGAGGUAACAUAAAAAUCAUUCAAAGGCAUCAGAACCCUAAAAAAUCAAAUGAUCAGGGGAUUGGGGGUCAGUGGGUCUAUCAAGGAGGAAGAAGGAGAAUAUGAUGCUGAAGAUAGAGUAAACUUCAGUUGGCCUUGUGUCAACCUAUCAACAAUAAUAGAUGACAAAAGUAAUGUCAAACUCGAACAAACAUUGAAGAAGGUAGUGAUAAAGUUGAAGUUGAAGUUGAAGUGUUGAAAAAAGGAGAACAUUGAAGUCAAGUUGAAGUUAGCUAAUUGGAAGCCUCACAGAUAACUUUGUCUGAUAUGUUAAGCUUCUUGAAAAGGAUGCACAUAUUCGAGAGGGGAGCAAAAAAAGGCACUGACGACAAGGUGCAAAAGCGUGAAACUGAACGUGCUAAUGCUCAUCUAUCUUUUAAGAAAUUUGAUGCAGGUUCAAAAAGAUUGAUGAGAUUUGAAACACAUAAAGGAUCGCUUUUGACAUGACGAAAUUGGUACACAAAGAAGGCAACUACAUCUUUCAAUCGCAAGUAAGCCUUUCUAACGAGGAUCAAGAUAAGUCUUCAUACCAAGUGAGGCUAAGCAUACCAAGGCUGUGAUUUCCAGGAAGAAACACCACCCCCCAAAAUAUGCAUGUGUCUGCCAAUGUGAGAACCAAGGCCAAUUAGAUUUGUUCCUACUGUUAUAAUUGUGGUGGGUUGGUCAUAUAAACUAUAUUGUCACAAACUGAAGAGGGGUCUCGAGUUUUAAUACUUAUAAUCAAACCUAAAAAGCAAUAUGGAAUAGAAACUCAGAUUAGAGUCCUACUAUGCAUAGGAACAGAUUUGUUUUCAACCAAAGGAGAUGUUCACAAAUCAUGAUCAAAAGGGGAACCACAAGCCAAGGCAAGACCUAGGUUUACAUUACCCUCAUGAGUUUAUUGACAAACCUAAGGGACUGCUAUAUGAGUGAGAAAAUAUGAUUUGAAUCUUUGACAAACGCUAAGAAAGUUAUAGGAGAAAGCUGUUGAGAUAGAUUAUUUGUGACAUAGUUUAGGAUUUUGGGCUUAAUACUUAUUUUAUUCUCUUAAGGUUAUGACAUGUUUGUAUGUUAUUCAUGUGUUUUAUUUGAGUUAUUUUAAAAAAUACCAAAAAGAUGUGUUUGUCCUUUAAUUUGGUUAUGACUAGUCAUUAAGAUUAAACAUCUUCUCCAUAAUGUUAUUGAUGUAAUGCUUGGUUUAAGAGUGACUCUUGUGGUUUAUUGACGCAUUCUAAUGAGUCAAUAGUUUUGGUGAUUUAUCAUACUCGUGAUUCAUGUUUCAAAGAUGCAUUUCUCAUGAGAUCUCUUCAAAUAGGAUCUCUUUGGUUGUGAUCUUUUGCCAAACUUUAUAUUGGAGAUCUAUCUUGUUAAUGAAUGUUACAAUGACGUGGCCAUGAAUACCCUUCUGAAAGAAAAAUUAUUUUGGACUUGGGUGGAAAGGGCUACCGGAGUGUGAGAGAAAGCUCCCCUUUUAUGUGAUAAGAGGAAGUGGGCUACCUGUCAUGUGUGUGAAAGCCACUAUCCUCAUAUGUCACAAUAACGGUGGUUAAUGUUGAGAAAUAGAGAGAUAGAGUGGAACUUUCAAUGGUGAUUAGAAGUACCUGUCCAGAAAAAUAAACAAAAAUUAAUACAGAAAUAAAAAUGCAUUGAGAUAGAUGAGGUUUGGACUUCUAGUGCUUUAUGGUCAAAGAUGAAGAUCUCCAUUAUGCUCCUGUCUAGAUCUGUUUUAGGGUCUAUAUUCUCAUUGAUCUCAUAGGAGGAUUUGCAUUCAUCACACAAUUGUCAUGGAUAUAUUUUUAGAUCACUUUAUGACCCCUUGUUCUCAUAUUUGUGUGGUAGUUGACCUGUUUGAUAUCAGUUUUUUUAUGUUACGGGUCAUAUAGACUCACGGGUUUAUUUGUUUUUUUGAUAAUAGCAAUACGGGGUUAAGACACAGUUCUGUAAAAAAUAACCCCUGAUUUUGUUUUUUUGUUUUAGGCUAGUCUAUUUUGACUGAUUGUUUUACGAUGUUAUUCUUCUUUCUAACAUAUUUCUCUUUUGUCCUGGAUGGCGUGGUUGUUUGAUAAUGCUUUACCAUUUUUGAGACAUUAGGGGGAGAGAAAUUUAUAUACUUUAUGUUAUUUAGAAGGAGAAUACAUUAAGGGGGAUACAUUAUUCUUAUAGCUCAUCGGUUAUUUUGUUUUCUUACUUUCUAUCUUACUUUGUCACUUUUUCUAAAAAGUGGGAGAGUAGUGAUUUUUUCUUUUAAAUUUUGUUAUCUCUUAAUUCCUAUAUUAUUUUUGUUUAUUUCUCUCCUUGUGUCUUGAUCGGAUUAGGGUUAUUUUCUUGUCGUAUGUGCAGAGAUGAUACUACUUGCUUGUUAUUGGUGAUGGGGUUUUCAUUAUAAUUUUUUUAUUUCCUAGUUCCCCUAUAAUGUGUUGUAACAUAGGUUUUGGCAUGAAACGAAAUUGCCAAAAGAGGAGAUUAUAAUUUUGUGUAAUUGGGAACAAGUUUUAUAGACACAUCAUAUUUAAAAUGUAAUUUUCCAAGAUUGCCUCAUCAAUCACAAGCAUAAGAACAGUUUUUCAAGCUUAUUGUGCAAGCUCAUGCUAUGAGAGGUCUUGUCAAUGAUAAUUCAAUAUGAAUACAGUGUGGCUGGGAUUCCUAGAGAGCUCAUGAGUAGCUCAGUAAUGUCGAUGAUCUCGCUGAAAAUACUGAAAGCCAACAUUUUCAUAAGAGCUCGUUGUACUUUUUUCGCCGGGAUGUCGCGUACUUUCGUGGAUGUCGCGAGACCUCGAGGGCAAAAGUCGAAAGCUCCAAAGUGUCACAAAGCUCUGGGAUCUUUGUGGGAUGUCGCAGGAAAAAGCCGAGAGCAUGCCAAUUAUUAGAGAGUUCGCAGGAUCCUCUCGAGAUCGAGACCCGCGAAUACUGCAACUUCGAACUACGUUUUUUUAGGGAUUUUUGCUGCUUAAAAGCUCAGCACACUUACCAAAACAUCUGAGCUGCCUUUAAUCAUUAUCUCAAAGAAACCUAUUCUCUAUCUUCCAGAGAGGUCAAAAACAGAUCUUUAGCGCAAUCAUCUUCAAUCAAAGUGAAGAAAUCAGAUUCUUGAUGAUUCAAGACGGAAGUGAAUUUGUUUUAAAUAGGGAUUUAAAAAUGGUGAUCAAAGCACAGAGACAGUGAAUCGUGGAUUCGAGCUAGAUCUAAACAUCAUUAGAUUCAUCGGAGUUGAAUAUGUUUUGAUUGUCAGGGUCUUGGUAAAUCGUUUGACAUAUAUUAUAGUGCACGAUCUUUGUCCGGCUGAAGAGGACAUCGGAUUUAUCUUCUCCCCAUUCAAGGUUUUCAGAAAAAAAGUCUGGUGUGUUCUUCGAUUGAAUGAUUAUUCUCUUUUUUCUUGGAUCAUAAAAUAUGACUCAUGACGUCGUGUUAUAAAUCUUGAUUAAUAUUAUCUUUUAGAUUCAUAUUGGAUAAAAUAAGACAAAGCCUAGAUUUUUCAUAAGCACAUAUUCAUAUUAAUCAUAUAACAAAUCAUCCCAUAUUCCGCAUCCAGACUUGGUGAACAAAUUCUCUUCCUAAAAAAAUUAUUCGUAAAAUUCUAAGAAGGUCUUACCUGAGAGAUUUCAAGCUAAGUUCCGGCAGAGAGUAAAGUAGGGAUUUGAUGCCUUUAAAAGUUGAAGACUUAGUGGGAUCGUUACAACCUUUGAAGUCAAAAUUUGUUUCGUCAAUUAAAAACGUAAAGGUAUUCUUUAAGGCUCCACAAAGAAAAUCUUGAGCUUAUGAUAGUGACUCAGAUAUGGGUAUUGAGGAGUAUGGUCGGCCUUGUUUGUCAAACAUUUAAAAAAUUCUUGCAAUAAACGACUACAAAGAAUCAUCUUCCUCAAUUGAAAAAGCCUAAGAAAAAAAACUUUUAAAAAAAUAAAAUUUGUAAGGAAGUUUUUUCCUCUGAUAAGUCAGUCAAAAACAGUAUUUUGAAUGUCAUGAUUUUGGGCAUAUUGCUAUGGACUGUCCAAAUAAAAAGAAAAUCAAGAGAAGCAGUUUUUGACUGUGACUUGGAAUGAAUUGCAGAAAGGAAGAGAAUUAGACAAUGAUGAUUGAGCUAAUUUCACUGUAUUCAUGACCUCGUACUUCUACUGCUGAGGUAGAUAAACAAAUCAUCAAAGGGAUGCAUCUUCCAAAAUUGAGAAAUCUUGAAAUCAGAUGGUACAAUUGGAUCUCUUGAGGACAGAUGAGGAAGACUUCAAGAUAAAAACACAAAAGUAAAUUGCAACAAGUUUAUAUCAACUAUAUAGCCAGUCUUUAUAAGCUUGUUGAUGCAAAAAAGGUAAAAUGAAAUAAGUGAUUAGAUAGAGGCUUUGAACUAAGUUGACUCCUUAAAAAGGUGACUGAAUGAUGAUUAAGAUAAACACACAGUCAGUAUGAAAAUUUAUCGAACAACCCGAUUAACAAAGUGAGAUUUCUCGAGAAUAUGCAAUUUAAUUAGAGACCGAUACAAAAAACCUCGAAGUGAAAUACUGAAACAUUGAAUUUGAUCUCUUGAAAUCCAGUCUGACUUCAAGAAGUAUGAGCAAGUAUUGGGGCUAAUCAAACCAUUCUGUGAACUCAUGGUAUUGGAUAUGAGGCCAAACCAACGCUGUCAAAGCAACUUCAUACAGUAAGCCCAUCAAAUUUAAUUCCAAAAAAAAAAAAGGUAUAAUUCCUCCACUUAAUAUGUUCUUACUUGUCACUAUACUAUGGUAUCAAAACUCCAUAAAAAAAAAAAAAAAAAAAAAAAAAACAUCAAGUCAAAAUUCAUAAAUUGCAUGGACUACCCUAUAACCUUGUGAACUUUGUUCAGACUGCGCAAUCUCAAAUCAAGUUAAUUCCAAAAUACACUGUUCAGAUGUUUAAUAUGUUCAUGGUUGUUUUUGAUGCAAAAACAUUUACUAGACAUAAUUUUCAAAAACUACUCAACUUCAAACAUUAUUAAACUAUCGACAGGAUAUGUUGUAAAUUUACCUCAAAAGGAAGGUCAAAACUACAGACAGUUAUUACAAAAAUGUAACAAGCUAACAACUAAGACUAUAUGAUAAGGAGAUGACAUCGAUAUGUUGCUCACACUUGCUGCACUGAAGGCUCUAAUUCUAAUAUGUAGUCUCUAGGAUAGUGGCUUGUCUAGACAUAUGUGUGGCGAUAACGCAUAUUUUGACACUGUGACAAAAUGUGAGGAGGUUUAGUAACCUUUGAAGAUGACACCACUUCUAGGUCGUAGGAAAAUAGGUAUAUAAUGAUUCUCAAGGGUUACCAAAUCUUCUGAUGUAUUGCUAGUUGAGGGUACUAAAGGCUAAUGUCUUCAUUAGGCAUUAGUUAGUUUAUGUGAUGCACAACAUCAAGUACAGUUUUUCAUAACGAAGUGUUUACAUUUUUGAUAAAAAUGUAACUUGUGUCUGAAAAGGUGCCGCACUUCAAAUAGAUUGCUAUAGGAUUACCGUUAGAAAGUGGUAUUUUUUGUAGUAAUUCUGACUAACUAGAUGAGACUGAGCUUUGGUAUCAAAAAAACUAGUCCAUGUUAACCUAAUGUCUUGUCUUCUAAUUUACAGCUCAGAACUCAUUCGUGGGAUUCCAAAACUUGAAAAAAUCACUAGUUAUGUUUGUGGACGCACGCAAUUGAAAAACAAUUACGUUCCACACAAGAAAGUUAAGGCAGAUUAUUAACGCACUAAAACCACUUGAACGUUCAUAUACUCUAAGUUUGGCCCCCUCAAAUAGAGAGUAUUUGGGGAAGAAAUACAAUUUGCGUGGUAAGGAAGGAUUUUCUAGAUUUACAUGGUUAAUUAUUUGAGAAAAAAUCUAACUAAAACACUUUCUGGUUAUCGAGCCUUAUGUUUAAAACAUGUAGGUUGAUACAGGGUUCAAAAAUAGAUGCAUUCGCUGAAUUCGCACAGAUAUGGCAGGAAUUUGACAAUUCUGAGUUUGCUAAUUUUUGUGAUGAUAGGGUUGAGAUAUGCAAUUACUACUGCCCAAAGCAACCACAAUAUAAUGGUUUGGUGGAGGAAGAAUCGAGUGAUCUAGAAAUGGCACGUGUAAUGCUUCAUAGAAAAAAAUCACAGCAAAAAUUUUAGGCUGAGAUAGUAAAUACAGCAUGCUACAAUUGCAAAUCAAGUCUAUCUAGAGUUGGUACCGAAGCAGACCCGCUAUAUAAGCUAUGGAAAUGGUAAGAAACCCAUGCGCAUACUUUCCAAGUAUUUGGGAGCAAUGUUAUAUGUUAGGGAUAGAGAUCAUUUGGGCAAUUUAAUAAUCCCGAAGCGAAUGAGGGGUAUUCUUAGGUAUUCUUCUUAAUAGUAGAACUUAUCUUGUUGUAUACUUGGCAUCCUCUUAUGGUUAUUGAAUCUAUAAAUGUUGUAAUUGAUGAUGCUUUAGUUCAACUCUAUAAUGUCCUUGAUGAGGAUUGUGAUUAAGAUAGUGAAAAGCUCUGGAUGUAGAGAAGGAGAAAAAUGAAAGGAGAGAUGAAGCGUGACUCGAUGGAUAAAGUUGAAGAUGAUAUUGGAAUCAUCUUGACCAUCAAGUAGGGUAAAACACUGAACCAUCCAUUUUGGACCAAGUGAUUGGAGAUGUCACUGAAUCAAUUCAAGACAAAAGGUGACACUGAUAGGAAUGGAUGCUAAAUUACCUUGUGCUAUAAACCUCUUCGUUAAAUUUACCUAAACAUGUAAAGAACAUCUGGGGUUAAUUGAUGAGCACUUGAUUAACCGCUAAAAAAUGCAUGAAGAAUUAUGUCAAUUUGUGCGUAACGAUGUGUGAAUUCUGUUCUUAGACCCAACAAUGUGAUGCGAUAUGUAAACUUAUAUUAAAUAUAAUCUGACGAAUUUUGCACUAUCACCAGGAAUCAGGCAAGACUUGUACAUAUUGAUACACUCAAAUUGAAGGAAAUUGACUUUUGACGAGACCUUUGCUCCUAUUGCAAGUUUUGGGAUUCUAUUCAAAUUUGCUUGCCAUUGUUUUUGUCACCUAGGUUUUAGACUUCACCAGUGGGAUGUAAAGAGUGCUUUUUUGAUGGCAUUCUUAAUAAGAGCCUAUUUUGAUAACCAAAAGGGAAGUUGGAACAGAUCCUAAGAUCCUAAUCAUGUGUACAAGCUUAAAAAAGUUUUUGUAGGGUUGAAACAAGCUCCUCGAGCCUUGGUAUAAGAUGUUGACUCGACGUCUGUUAAAGUUCGGAUUUCUCGAGGGGGAGCUAAUCAACUUUGUUCUAAGAAAAAAUCUAAGUACCUUCGUCGUUCUCAAUCUAAUGUGAUGAUAUUGUGUUUGGUUCUACCUCGGUAAAAUCUUGCUCACAAUUUUUCUGAACAUAUGCAAGUUUAAUUUAAAAUGAGCAUGAUGGGUGAGUUGAAUUAUUUCCUCAGGUUACAAUUAACAAAAUGGAAAAUGGAUCUUUAUCUCUCUAUCCAAAUAUGCUAAGACCUAGUAAAUAUUUGGCUUAGAAAAUGCUAUGCAUGCUAGGAUCCCAUGAGCACUAGUCUUUAGCCUUAGCAAGGAUACAUCAGAAAGAAUUUUGAUUAAACACUGUAUAAGCACCGCUAAACCAAUCUAUUUGGCCCUAGAUUAGGUUUAAUUUUACCUUAUAUCGUGUUUUUACUAAAAUUCGAUUUGCAUUUAUUGUAAAUAAAUAUUGAUAAAGAAAAGGAUUGGAGUCAUAAAAGUGAUUUGGAGUAUGGACACCCAUAUCGAAGUCCGUUGCCAAGAUUUGUCUUAGGAAUUGUGAAAGUUUUUUACUUGUAACUCGAAAGGAAUAAAAGAUCGUCGUUGGAAAGAACUCACAAAGUUAUACAAAUUCACAUCUAACGAGCAUCACCAUAUUGGACUCAAGAGCUUUCAAAAUAGAUGAUAGAAAAAUAGGAGAAAAAGCAAAGUGGUUUGAAAUACACUGUUCGACGACGGAAAAUAAAGAAUUUUUGGGAGUUCAAACGAUGGUUAAAAAAUGAAAGAAAAUAAUUUUGCCCUUAAAGUCGACCCCCUCUAUGCCGCGUUCGAACUCACAGAGACUGUGCAACCUCAAAAAUUGUCAUACCCUGAGGGUUCGAACGUCUACAGUAACCUUUUCGAACGCUAGGCUUUAGCUCCAAUGCGUUCGAACCCUAAUAUGGGCGUUUCGAACGCCAAAGCAUAUUUAAGAAUUUUCAUUAAAAAACCUGUCUUGGUAUGUUAUUCAUAACUUUUUACUCCGAUAUCCGAUUAAUUUGAUUUUAAAGCAUUGAAAAAAAAACUUCAAGGCUACAACUUUGCCUCCCCCCCCGUAAAAAAAAAAUGAGUAUUUGUUUGAAUCGCGCACUAAGAUAGUCAAAAUUAAGAUGAAUUUUUGCAAGAUCUUUCUUUAGAAGCAUACGUAGGAUUGAGUUUAGGAUGGAAUCAAGUGUUUUAAUUGUCUUGUGUUCACCUUAGCAUUUUGCUUCUCAUGGGAAUCGAUACUCGUACUUUGAGUUUUUUAUUACUACUUUCGUGCCCUACACUUGCGGCAAGGAAAUUCCACUUCUGGAGCGAAUCAAGUUUUUGCGCAUUGCCGGGGGAACAUACUUUUCCGCUCAAGGGACCGAAGAGCGUGCUUGACCAUGACAAUCAUCCUCCGCGAAAUCCAGCGGAUACUUCAACAUCCAUCUACUACAACAAGGAAAUUUACGGCAAGGCCAUAUGGUAACAUUGUUCCAUCAUUUUGUGUUAGUCUUUAGGGUUAUUCAUUUUUAUUUAUUUUUUAUGAGUCUAUACAGGCUUUAAUUAGAUAGAGACGGAUUUAUAGACUGUUAGGUUUGUGCUAAUUAUUUAUUACUGGGGAUUGGCUUUAUAUGUUAGAUUUGGAGGAUCGGUUGGGGGUUGAAUUAAUUGAUUUGUUUGAUAUCAUAUCUGAUAUAUCUAUGGAGAUUGGAGGAUGGGUGGAUUUAUAACGUGGUUUUUUUGUAUGCAUUACAUUUUGUAUGUCCUCAUAUUUUAAGAGUCACACAAACCUUUUAGUUUCGAGUCCCCCUUCGUAAUCUUCCAUUAGGAUAUUUGGACAUACCAUCAUCACCCACUCGGUGUAGUCCAACACCUUACCCCGAUUUUUCUUAGUUGACAUCGAAACCUAUAUCCAUGAUCAACACAAACAUAACAAGAUCCCCUAGACAUGGUCCUAAGGGAGCACAUAAUGGGCAACUGGGGUUAAUAAGGGAGAUCGGAACCAUGAAAGGGCUAGUAAUUGCUGGGGGAAGUUAAGGCUCAAAUUCCGCACGAUGAGGGAUACAUUAUGAACCCUACAACGGCAAAUUCCCAUCUCAGUAUAUACUUAGUCCCGUGCACCAAUACCUUUAAAAUCUUAAACCGGGAAUGCUAAAGUUUUUGCCACAUUUUAUGGGUUGUGAUCCAAAAGACAUACACGCAUCUAAAAGAUUUUGAUGACGCAUUCUCUAUUUUUCAAGAUAACUCCUGUCAUCUAGAAUUCUUACUGUUGAAACUCUUUUCAUGUACUCUUAAAGACAAAGCUAAAUUGUGAUUUAAUUCAUUGAGACCUAGUCUAUUUACCCUAGAACACCUUGGAAUGAGAGUUUUUUGAAAAAAUUCUUCCCCCAAAAUUCGUACGGAGGCAUUACGUCUGCCAUAUCUCGGUUUGUGCAUCAAAUAGUGACUAGAGUUUUUCUUGCCAAGCCGGGGAAGAGAUUUUAGGAACCCCUACUAAUGCAUGUCCACAUCACAAAUUUGUUCAACCAUGACACAUAAUAAAUAUUUUUUAUUCUUCAUUGUCCCCCAAAUAAAAUAUUUUGUCGAGUCUAUGUGUGCGGGGACGUUCCAAAUACGAUAACCAAACACUCUAUGAUAUUUUCACUAUUUAAGCUAACUUGACUAGUGAUUGGGCUUGUACGGGAAUCAAUAAUGUGAAUCAAUCUUUCAUUGUCAUACCCUCACAACAUGUGAAAUUAUAUCAAUUGAAAGUGAAGAUGAUUUAAAUUCUAAGCUCAACAGCACUUUGAAGCAAGUGGGAAAAGGGGGCUUUUGUCACUUGCAUAAGGCCCUACGAGUUUAAGCCAAAAGAGAUCUCAACAAUAUGUGCAUUGUGUGCCAUAAUGGACCAUUGCACUGAUCUAUGUCCAAUUAUGGCUGGAGUUAAAGAAGCGUGGGCAGGUUAAUGUGUAUAAUCAACUUCCAAAGAGUGAGAACAAUCCCAAUCCAAUACAUAUAACCCGAGUUGGAAGAACCAUCCUAAUUUGGGUGGCGACAAGAGGUACAGCAAAACAUGCAAUAAUUUUUCACAAAACCCUCAAAACCUCCAACAUAGCCGCAACAUACCUUUCACCACAAUCAUCCCCCACAUAACUAUGCACAAAUGGUGCCCGUGUCAUAUCCUACACAGUUUGUACACAAUCGGCACAAUACCAACGCACCGCAACGAGGAAUGAGGAUCAAUGAGUUAUCCACUAAAGUCACAAAUCUGGAACAAGACAAGAUAGCUUGAGCAAUCAAUACCGUCUUGAAUAACCAAUUGGGAGAUGACUCUUUUACUUGAAAUUUUUAAUCAUGACAUAACAACAAAGGGCGCUUUCCCGCUCAGUCCUCAACAAAACCCGAAGCCUACAAAUUACAUUAAAGAACACAUGAGCAUGUAUAUUCCAUCACACACCCUAGGAAUAGAAAAUAAGUUGAUAACCAUUGCAAAUCAAAAUGUAAGGCCAAGAGAAUGAUGAUGAAUCUAUAGGGUUAGGACAUGAAUUGAGAAUAAAAAGAACAUGAGUGAACGAGAAAGAACAUGAGAGUAAUUCGAGCCAUCUAAUAAAGCAUCCAAUGAGUACCCAGUCGAGGAUUUGAAACAUGCCUCCAUGGUCCACAAUAGUUGGCUAAACAGUAAAGCGAACUUUGUGCUGAAUUUACGAUGUCUUAAACAAGUUUGAAUUAAUAGCCCCGAUGUUAAGAUGCCAUCAACCAAUACCUCCUAGUCACGCUCUGGAAGGACUUUUAUACUGUUAAAGAUUGCAUGUUAAAGAAACAACAAUGAUGAAUAAGAGUCAAAGUGCAAUCCUACAAUGUAAAUAAUCUGUGCCGAAAUAAGGACCCCCCCGAUUUGUCCCAAUUUGUGUAAAUAGUGGGUCAUAGGAUCGACGAGCACUUUUUCUUGUCCUAGGUUCGACUAAAUCACUUCUGCCAUAUCUAUUAUAAGAAUAGGUCUACUAGGGGAAUGAAACCAACAGUGUUACAACUACACUCGAGUUAACCGAUCUAUUUAUUAAGGUCCCUAGAGGUAUUGUAGAGAUGUGCUCAUCCAGUUGGGAAUACGUUUUACUAUUCGGUGGAUCAUCAUUUUUUAAGAUACCUAACUAGUAGAUUUGAGUCUUCGAGCGUCAUACUCCUAUCAUUUAGGACGACCUUCCUACUAACGAACUGCGAAUGUCAUUAUUCAUUAUAAGAAUGGGUUUCUUCAACUUUCAUUCAAAAUAUAAUCUUAGAGAACCAAUAUUUUACAGUGGGUCGCAAUUAUGGAAGUAUAAAACCAAAAUUGAAAAGGAGGUCAAUUUUUUAAUUUAAUCUAAUCAUCCAGAGCAUGGAGACCGCAAUUUCAAUAAGGAUCCAAUUGUGAGGGUUGUAGUUUAUGAGUGUAGCCAAACUGACCAAUUGGAAUCCGAGUGUAUAGAUCUUCACGACGUAGGCCUUUUGAUUGCACACAUCGUAUUAAAGGCAAAGAUGAAGUCUGGGCAGACCAACAUCGAUAAAGCUUAUCUUGAGGUUGAGCAGGAGAGUUGAGUAUGUAGAUCUACGUGAUCCACGCCUCUUGAAUGAAUUGAGAAAAAAUGCCUUCCAUGAUGUUGUAUAAUAAGUGUUUAGCUCGAGUGAGUCGGGAUAGUUAACCCUAGUUGGGGGGAGGGAAUGUAUUCCCACCCUUUCGCCUUUCCCUUACCCGUCCAUCGUAUUGUUAUUGUAUUUUAUUUUUCCACAUUCGAAGAAUACUCAUCUCUAGUUGGGGGUAGAGGUGUUCAAAACGUGCUGCCGUGCGUGCCGUUGCCAAUCGGCUUCGUGCCGGGCGGGGCCGGGCCAGGCCCAUUUACGUAAUCGGGUCGUGUCGUGCUUCUUUAAUCGGUCGUGCCAUUUUUAAUCAUGCCGUGCCGUGCUAUUUUUAUUAUCGUUCAGUGCCGUGUUCGACCAUUUACUUAAUAGUGUCGAGUCAUGUCGGACUGCUUUUUAAUCAUGUCGUACUGUGCCGGCCCGCUAAAUAGUCACGGUGAAUCAUGUCGUGCCGUGUGUGCACGUCUAAUUUACGUGUCUUGCCGUGCCGUGCAUUUAAUUAAUGUGUGUGCCGUGCCCGUAUUUAAUCGUGUCGUACUAUGCCGCGUUUAAAAUUUCGCGACAUAAAAUCCAUUUUUAUAAGAGUAGAAAUUUCAAAAAAAAGUCGUUAAACACUUCACUUGAGAAUAUAAUAUCCUAUUCAUUUAGAUCUAGCAGAUCUCAAAUUAAAAAAUCUCACAACCAACUAUGAAAAAAAAAGUAUGAACUAAAUAAUGAAAAGAAAUGUGAACAAAUAGCAAUUUUGAGACAACUUCGAUUAUGCCACAUCUCGUUAUAUUUUAACAAGGUAAAAAAAAAGUUAAAAAAAGAGCAGUUUUGAGGGAUUAUGCCACCACCUAGUUAUAUUCAACAAUUAAAAAAAGGACGAAAUGUGAAAAUAGAGCAAUUAUGAGGGGUUGAUCCACCCCACUCGUGAUUUAUGGUAUAAAUUACAUAUAAAUAGAUAUAUUGUAAAAUCACUAAACAUGUAUUUAAUCAAUUCAAACAAGUAAAUAUAACAAAUACCCAGAUCAAAGAACAUGGGUGUAAAUCUUGAGAUAAAUAUUACACUUCAAGAGAAUACAUGAAAAUUAUACCGUCGCUUAUUGUGGCAAUGGCGAACAACGACAAGACCUCGUUACAACAGGGGGGCUUAAUCUGACAUCUUCUUCUAUAAUGCUGCCAUCUAUAGAAAUUUUCAUACAAAAUAGAAAUAAAAUCCAAAUUAAUUACAAUUAAAUCAACACACAAGGAACGCGUGGAAGAUAACUCAUACUCUAUAUAAAAUUCACAAAACCAUGCAAUCAAAAACGGUUAAUCAAAGCUCAUAUUAAAAAAUAUACAACAACCCACAAUUAAACGGUGGCAAAGGGGAAAAAACACAUAAUCUGUAAAAUAAAAUAAAAUCCAAAACCACACAAUCAAAACUCAAAUUAAUUUCAAAUAGAACUCAAUCCCACAAAAUAAAUACUCAAGGGGGGGGGAAAAUUAAAACAUUAAAAUCCACACAUUACAUGGGGAAAAAACUAUAAUCACCAGAGAAGAAGGGAAACUAACCAUUAACCCACUUCCCCAAAAUCAGGAGUUAUCGAACAAAGGAAGAUAACACACAUACCCAUACAAUCUAUCUAUCUAUCUAUAUGUUGUGUAUACAAACUCCCGUUCUCCUUGAAAACCAAAAUAGGUCUGAUUCAUCUUCUUACCGAACUCCCCCUGUUCCUUUCCCAUAUUCCAGUCACUUUUCACAGAGCUCUAACAUACACAAAAGAGGAGAGAGAAGAGAGAGAGAGAGUCACCAUUGCUGCACAGAUGCAAAAACCCUAGUCUUCUGCGUAAGUAAAUGAAAGCGGCUCUAUAGAAAUCGUAUAAACUGGUGAAGAAUGAAGCGAUGGGAGGUUUUAGGUUUCGGUCUAGGGUGGACACCGUGGCAGGUUUGGUAUUGUUAAGAUGGGCUCAAGCCCAGUUUAGCCCAACACGGUAUGCCUAUCACCCAAACCUGUAAAUUGUCGUAAAAUUGUAUUACUCGAGGGUUGUAAUAGUAUUUUUUUCAAAUCAGAACGUCGAACGUUUUAAGUGGGAGUGAUUAUAUACUCCAUGCAAAAAAUUAAAGUAAAUUAAUUAUAAUACUACUUGACGAGUGAGGACAAUUUUAUCGUUUUAAUGAAUCAAUGUCCCAAUGAAAGAGCUUUCAAUACCGGAUAGAAUUAAAUUGGGCUAGAGUGAUUAAAAUAAACACGAAAAAACAAAAUGAAAGUUUUUGAUCAUAAACAUUGUGUUCCGAUUGUUGGGCUAUCAUACAUUAGCCUAUAGAUAAGUGUUAGUUCAGAACAAUAAGUCGAUUAUAGGAUUGAAAGGCAAGUGCAGACUCAAUUUCUCGAAUGUUCGAUUUAAACAUUAUGAUUUUAUAUCUUAUCAAUUUUAUAAUUUCUCUCCAACCAUGAUGGCGAUCAAAACAUCGAAACCACAUGAUCGGAUUAAAUUCGAUGUAUCUGUGAGCAAUAAUGUCUAUCAUGCAUGACCUCCAGCCAUUCAGAGUAUUUUUUUGAAUUAGAACCGUUAAGAUUUGAAGUAUGAGUGAAUUAUAUCCUAUAUGCAAAAAAUAAAGUACUUUAGUUAUCGUUACAUACUUAAUUGAAUGAGACAAAUUGUCGAUUGAUAAUGAAUACAUGAAUCAUAUCCGGAUGAAAGGGCUUUAAUACCGGAUAUACUUUAAAUUUUACAAGAGUGAUUAAAAUAGUAAGACAAACAAAGUAACGGUGUGGAUCGUUAUUAUGAUUGCGAUUGGUAUGGCUAGCGCAUAAUAUAUCAAGAUUUUUUUGGUACUUUAAAAAAUUAUUUUUAUUUGUUUUUAUUUUUGAAAUAAAAUAAUUUUUUAUUUUUUAAAUCACGGACGGCACCGUGUCGUGCCCAUUCCGUGCCCUUCACACUUCCGUGUCAUGCCGUGUCGGCCUGACAAGUCCGUGUCGGUCGUGUGUGCCAAAACAGAAGGCCCAACUAUAGGUCGUGCAGUGUCGUGCCCAGUUUUGCAAAGCCGUGCCGUGUCGUACGCAGGCCAACUACCGUGCGUGCCUGUGUCGUGCCCACCAUUUUUGUGCUCCGUGCCUGCUCCGACCUUGACGUGUCGUGCCAUGCCCAACUUAUACCGUGCAUAACCGUGACGUGCUGGAUUUUUUCGUGCCAUCCAGACAAGGCCGCUUGACACCUUUAGUUUGGGGGACUUCAUAGUGCAGAAAAAAUUUUCAAUUCUUCAGUUUUGUGAAUAGGUUUAGGAUUAUUUUCAAUACAAAAAAAAGUCCCAAAACUCAAGAUUGAUAACUUUUUAGGUACAAUUGACAUAUUUUGGAUGCUAUUAACUCUGACUCAUGUUUGGAUAUAUAAACACUGUGCUAUCUUUUUGAUAUGUCUAGCAAAAUCGUUCUUUAAUGCUUAUAAGUUGGUUUAAAAUAGAGUUAUUUUUCAUUUAAUGUAUUUGAAGUAGGUCUGUUUUCUGUUCCUUUGAAUUAACAUUGUGACUCUUCGCAUUCCAUGUUGUGGAUGUGUUUAAGACUUCUUAGGAUUGGGACCAUAACUAAAUCAUUGUGUUUUGUUUUCAAAAAAAUAGUUGAGCAACUAGUGAUCUUUGUAUGUAUGAGUUUAGGGAUUAUCAUGUCAAUUCUAGUCUUGUAUUACUUAAUACUGUAUUGUUGGUGCGUUAUAGAGAGAGAUGAUAACUUAUCCUAAGCACGGGUUGGUUUCAAAGCAAAAUUGUUAUAAAUUCACAUAACGAACUCUAUGAAGUAGAGAUUGUAUUACCUUGUAAACGUUAAAGCAAUGAAUCGUUUUUGUUGAGCGGUUUAUCUUUACGACAAUAACAAUUUAUUGAAAUUCAUUCUUUUGAAUUAGCUUCAAUAUGUUUGAAUUGGUUUAAAUGUUACGUGUAGUAAGUUAAAAUGUUUGACAUUUUUACAUGACUUACACACGUUUCGAAUUGUUACAGGAGGCCAAUUCACGUAUUUCUUCUUUUAUGUCAUUCUUUUGGUAAUUGUGCAAAAAUGAUCUCGAAAAAGUGUGUGAAUCUGAAGAGUUGUCUUGAGAUUGGAGGGGAAAGGAAUGUAAGCAUUUAAUUUUUGAGAAGUUGAGAAAAAAUGGAGGCCCCAAGAGAAAAGGGAAAUAAGAAAAACAAAACAAACAAUACAAACAAGGAGUUCAAAGUUGAAAAAUCUGAAAAGAAAAAGAGUUUGAGUGUAUGCUAUUAAGUUGGCAUGUGUAGUAGCAAUGCCAUAUGUUGAGAUCAUUGCCGCUGAUUCUCGCUUACUUCUUGGACUUAUCUUUCAUUUAUAUGGCAUCAAGUGAUUAGAAUUACGCAAAAAAAAGUCUUUGAUUCUUCUAUAUAAAAGCCAUCAUAUCAAAUCAGAAUCUGUUGCAUAAUGGUAAACAUUCUUUUUUAAAAAACUAUGUCAAUCGAUACAUACAUUUUGCAGUUGUAAAAUUAGAUGCUCUAUUUGCGUUACUUUUACACUUACUCAUAUAACAAGCAAUCCCUGAGGGUAACCGUGGUUCUAUUUUGAGAAUUAUAGGGACUGCGAGCUUGAAUAAAGGCUAUUUGUUGUUGUUAUAGGAUGCAUAAUGGUUGAUUCUUGAGAAAUAUGAUUCCACUAUACACUUGAAUCUUCUCGUUUAUAUUACAUUUUGAGCAGUUUUGUAGGUUGCUUGGCAUGAAUGGUUGACUUGAAAUGCUUACAUUGUAUGUGUUGAGAAGCUAUUGUAUUAAAUUAUUUUUGAUACAUUACAUGAUUGGUUGAUUUUUUGUAUUUGUGGGUAUCAUCACUGGAAACCAUCACGAGGACACUACUAUCCAUUAGGGGUAAAACGAGGGUUUAACGGCUGAUCUUAUGAUAAAAUGGCUUAGGGAUUCUUAGAAAGGUGAUAUUUUUUUUUUCUUAGUUUUGCUAGGGGACAGCAAAAGGUUAGUUAGGGCGUGAUUAGACGGCAUAAGGCAUUUAAAUGCCCUAAACCAAUCUCAGUGGGCCCUAAGAUUAGGCUUUAUUUUACCUUUAUAUCGAUUUUGUACUGAAAGUUGUCUAUGCGCUUAUUAAGAUAAAUAUUGAUAAAGAAGACAAUGUGGAGACAUGAAAAUUGAUCCAGAGUGCGGGAACACAUAUAUAGAAGGACCAUUGCCGGGAUUUGUCUUAGAAAUUAUGAAAGUUUUCACCGUAACUUGGAAUGGAAGGAAAGAUGUGUCGUUGGAAAGACUCACAAGUUAUACAAUAUCACAUCAACGAGUAUCGCGAGAUUGGGCUCUAGAUUUUCAAAAUGACUGAGAAAAAAAUAGAAGAAAAAAGUCGAAGAUGGUUGAAAAUAUAUACCAUUCGAACGGAGGAAAAUAAGAAUUUUGGGAUUGAAUGAUGGCUUGAAAAAUGAAGAAAAUAAGAUUUUAACCUAGAGUUUCGAACCCCUCUGUGCAGCGUUUCGAACGCAUAGAGACUGUGCAAACUUAAAAAACAGUCAUAGGCUUGAGGGUUCGAACAUCUCCAAUGACUGUUCGAAUGCGCGUCUUAUCUAUAGUGACCGUUCGAACCCUAAUAUGGGCAUUCGAACGACAAGGCCUAUUUAAGAAAAAUUUGGUCAACAGAACAAACCUGUCUCGAUAGUUUUGGCCAUACCUUUUUACUCCGUAUCCGAUGAGGUAAUUUUUAAAGCAUUAGAAAGAAGACUUUAUCUCAAGAGGAGUUUGCUGGGUGGACCGUGAGCAUUAAAACGCCAUUUAGGGUCGACGCUAAGAAGAAAAUUGGCAGACUCCUAAUCUUACUAGGACUCGACUUGUUAAUCUAUAUAUACUUCAUUACGAUCCUAUGAACAGAACACAUUAUUUUUGUAGGGUUUUUACGCUUUUUAGUUUAGAAAAUUAUAGUUUUCAAUAUUUUGUAGUCAAUUACAUUAAAUUAAACAUUUUUGAUCAAGCAAAAGUUACGGUUUUAGUCCAAUUACUCGCAUUUUUCUAUAAUUUUUCUCUCAUUAAUUUAAGUUCUUCACGUUAUUUAUUCAUAUCAGAUUUUCUAUUGAGAAUGCUUUUAAUACAUAUUUAUUUAUUUUUCAGACCAUAAGUGGCUAAUUAUUUUCAACGCGGGAUCGAGGAUAAAGUGGAGGUAAAUUAUUUUUCACUGUUAGAUCUUCUUAUUUUUAUUCUUCUUCUCUCGUUCCUAAAUACUUUCAAAAACAUGGCGUCAUAUUAUGUUUUCGAAUAACGCUUUGCGUGAAUUCCAUACUUAGUAUAUACGCUGGCUUAUAACGUUUAUGUGUCAAUUGGGUUUAGUAUAUGCUGUGCUCUAAUCAAUUAUGCACGACUAUGAUUAUAACAACCAUUUAUGUAAAAAGUUGAAAAUUGAAGAAAAUUAGUUUUAAAAGCCUAAAUCUUUUCGAUUUGAGACUUAUGACAUAUCGAGGAUUUGAGUUAAUACAAGGCCUCCAUUGGAAUUUCAAGUAAAUUCGAUUGAUUGGAUCAAUUUAUUUUGAUCUUUUUUUACCAGUUUAAAUCAGCUUUAAUUGCUUCAAUAAUUUAAAUUUUGUUUAAAAUAAAUACAAGAUUUUUAUUUUCUCUUUUUAAGAAGUAUAAGCGACAAUUAAGUUUAGGAUUGAUCAAGUAUUUUAGUUGUCUUGUGUUCACCUUGGCACUACUCCUCAUGGGAUGAUACUUGUACUUAAGUUUUAUUACUAAUUCGGACCCAUACACUUGUACUUUUUUGAUUCACUUCUGGGAGUCGAAUCACUAAUAGACUUGGACAUUACAUUUGUUGUUGGUAUUUGUGCUUGUUUUAGGCUUGUCCCAAGAGUCACGUUUGUUUGGCUGUGAAACGAAUCUAAAAUAUGUCAAUGGACUCUUGAGUAAUGGGUAUUUGUUUACUUAACACCAUUGCAAAUAUUGCAGUUAUAAUAAGUAGAUUGGGCAUGGUCUGCCGAUGAUCAUAAGAGCACCUCUGGAAGGUGUCUCUAUGUAUGAAUAAACUUGUGCGCAUAGUAAAAAGCAGAAUUCAAUUUUCCUUGUCCACUACUGAGUAUAAUACAUAGGCUACUGGAAGUUAUUGUACUUAGCUUUUGUGGAUGAAACAAAUGUUAAGUGACUAUGGCUUAGAAUAAAAAUGUCAUGACCCUUUUUUGUGAAACUGAAUUGCUAUUAGUAUUUCUAAGAUCCCAUUCAACUUCUCGUACUAACAAUUGACAUUCGAUAUCACUUCAUAUCGUGAUCUAGUCGAAGAGAAAGUUGUUUUUCCCUAGACAUAUCUCCACUAAAUCAACUUGUUGAUCUCUUCACAAAACUCCUUGACACUCUUAUAUUGAAGUUUCUACGGAAAUCCCUAGGAGUGUACUCUCUCGAGGCGUUUAUUAUGUCAUUUUGUGGCUUGAGUGGUCUUUAGGUCUCAUAUUUUCUCAAGCUAUUAUUAUGGGUUGUGUGUGUGAGUUUUUUUUAUCUAAACUUAUGCAUGUAGCUGCACAUAAUUGGUAGGCUGUUUAUAUGUUUCGAAUUAAAUCUAGUAUGCCUCUUUGAAAUUAUAAUGUAAGACUAGUGACAUUUGCUGAUCUAGUCAUGACAUGCUUCAUGUUGUUUUUGGUGUUCUCCGUAUGAGAUCGCUUCGAAUAUGAAAUCUGUCUUUUUUUAUGAUCUUUUUGAAAACGUAUAAUGGAUGAUCUUUCUUGCUCCCAUGUUUUUCCCUUUAUAAAAAAACGGCAUAAAAAAAAAAAAAAAAAAAAAAAAAAAAAAGAAGAGGGCUACCUGGAGUGUGUGAUAAGUUUCCCUGUUAUGUGACAAAUGAUAGAUGGCUACCUACUCAUGUGGUGAAGCCACCAUCCUCAUAUGGUUACGAUUUAAAUACUUGACAAUUGGAGAGAUAGGGUUGGAACUUCAAUGGUGAGGCAAGUUGAUGGUGUCUAGAAAAAUAAAAUUUGAUGUGAGACAGCAUGCGGGGUUUUGACUUUUAGUACUUUGUGUGGUCAAUAGAAUUUCUAUUAUGAACCUGCCUGGAUCUUGUUUUAGGGUCCGUAUUCGCAUGCUCUAAUAAGGGAUAUGCAUCUCAAGUUCAUGAUGCUAGGUUAGUUUAUCAUUACUGUGAAAACUUGAGUUCUAUUAUGCUUAUCUUGAUCAUACUGAAUAUUCAUUCAUUCAUAGUCAGGGCAUCUUUAAUUCAUUGGUUGAAUUUUGCAUGAUGUGAAUUUGCGUUAUGUGCUGCCAUUCUAUUUUAUUAAUUUUGUUUUGUUGUUUUUGGUUUAUGGGUUAAGGAUAGUUCACGGUUGUUGCGGGGACUCGAUCCCCGUGGAAGUUUCAUUAAAGAUAGCUGGUUCUCGCUAUAUUUUCAUUCGGCGAAGUCACUUACUAGUUUUCUCAGCUCUCGCGGGUUCUCGAUCCCGCGAGUUGGACUAUAGAUAAGUAUAUACCAAAUGUGACUGUCCUUUUGCUCUAUUCCCUUGUCGCUUUCUCUCCUCCACUCCGCCCUGGCGAUUUUGGUGACCCAAUUAUGACGGUUUACCUCUUUCUUCUAGUGGAACUAAGUUCCCCAUUCACCUCCAAUAUUUCGGUCAUUCCUAGGUAAUCUAUCCGUUCCUGAGUUCUCUUUGUUUUCCUGCUUCUCGCUUUUUUACAGACCUGGGGUUUUUUAAUUUUUUUUGGUUCGCUGUGAUUUUUUAUUGUGGGUUUGAUUAAUCAUAUUUGUCUGUGUUCAAUUGGUAUUUGAAGGAUGAGGAGUCGUUAGUUCUUAUUUACAUCUUUAGGGCUCUUAUUUCCAUCUUUGGUCUUAGUUUUAGAUCUGGUAGUUACUGCUUUUUCUUUUUUGUUUGGAUUCUGACAUCUCUGGACUGGUGCGGUCUGUAUUUAUUGAUAUUUGUGAUCCUAUUUUCGUUUUCAUGUCUAUCCCCAUAAAAGGAAGGGGCUCAAACCCUUGACCCGAGAUUAUUGGAUUUGCCAUAUACAUCUGUCUCACAAAAAUGCCUUCUCUGAACUCCCUUGGCCCAUUUGUUGUUGGUCCAAAGAAAGUGAUUGGCCUCCUUGUGGUUCAAUCUCUCAAGCAAAAGAUUUGAAGGACGUAUUUCGCGUCCUUAAUCAUAUUAUUUGUGAAUGUUGCCAGUGCACGCCUCACUGACGUUAGAUUGACGAGACCGUCACGUUCAAUAAGGCAAUUGCCUCCAAACUUGCUAGUUGACAUAAGUCGUUUGACUUGUUUAAUCUCAUCUUGGGAUCUGUGGACAAUUCUUUACGGAGCGACCUACCAUUUGGUCUCUAAUCACUGGGAAUUCCUGGAACAGCAUCUGAUCGUCCUGAACACCAUGAGGACUAAAGUUUCAGCGGGUAAACCAAUAUCUAGGGUUACUCUUCAUAUAAGUAAUGCGCACCUAGGUGUUGCCCCUCCUCCAUCUCAGCUUCAAUCUCAUGCUGUGGAUCUUGAUCCAUCCGAUAAUGAAGGCUUACCCUCUCUUGUGCCACUGAUAUUCCAUUACCCCUGUACACCUACUGUGCCAUUGUGUUGAUCUGACUGCUACUUCAAAUUCAAGGAUCGCUGAUGCCAGUGCCUGCUUUUUUGGCACGUGAAUGUAUUCAUACAAACUUGGUUGAGAUUGUUAUGAGUUGCAUGAGCAAGUGACCUAAUUGUGGAGCGGCCAGGCAUAUGAUAUUAAGGGCCACCAUGAUACCCUUCAGCAUUAUCUCACGACACACGAAGUUUAUCACGGAGGUGAAUGACUUCAUUAAUUCUAUUCGACAUAGAAUGAUUUGGUUGUUACUUAAGAAUUCUAGAAUUUUUUUGGUUGGCAUCUUUGGUAUUUUUUUCUUCGUAAACUUUGUGGAUAUUCUGCGUAGUUAUUAUGGCCACUUGUUUUAGUAUGUUUUUAAUUGUUGAAUGAUGGUAUUUUUUGGGGUUUAUAUGCGUUUGACUUAUUUAUGUUUUCACUAGUGUCCCUUGUGGGGGGUGC
rnacentral:lncRNA from 1 species